rnacentral:rRNA from 1 species
UUUAGUCAGGCAACGAGCGAGACCCACGUCCACAGUUGCCAGCAUAUUCUCCGGAAUGAUGGGUACACUGUGGAGACCGCCGCUGCUAAAGCGGAGGAAGGAGUGGGCAACGGUAGGUCAGUAUGCCCCGAAUCUCCCGGGCUACACGCGGGCUACAAUGGUUGGUACAAUGGGCAUCUACCCCGAAAGGGGAAGGUAAUCUCUUAAAGCCAAUCGUAGUUCGGAUUGAGGGCUGCAACUCGCCCUCAUGAAGCUGGAAUCCGUAGUAAUCGCGUUUCAACAGAACGCGGUGAAUACGUCCCUGCUCCUUGCACA